rnacentral:lncRNA from 1 species
CGCGCGUCGCGCCGAUACUGAGCCUUAAUGUACAGCGGCUGUGACUGAGCCGUGACCAGUCAAGCCGUUAAACGGUAACUUACCAAAACCGUUGACCAGUCGUGAUCAGUAGAUUUUGACCGAGUCAAACGUUGACCGCCCUCUUGACUGUUGACCAGUCAAAUCAAAAAUUGCAUUUUUCCCCUGGCCAUUCUGUAAUUACAGAUUGGCCUCUGAAGUUUGAGAAUUGCAAUUUAGUCCAUGAAGUUUUAAUUAUUCAAGUUGGGUCCAAAAGAGUAUGAUUUGAUAGAAAAGCCCUUUCUGAGUUUUUCGGCAUCUGGAAUCCAUCCGCGAGUGGUCCCGUUUCCCCCCCGAUAUCGCUGUGCGCUAGUGAGAGAAGUAAGAUGGCCAGCAGAGAAUAAUUUGGGAGCUAUGAUUAUGCUUUCCGCGAUAAAAAUUUACGCCCUAUGAAAACCGAGGAUGGAAAAAGACCAAUCCUACACCAUAGUCUGUAAAGAUGUUGCAUGAUCCUUUGAGAAUAUAAUAGGAGGAAAACUACGGAAAAGAAGGAUGAGGAAUGGAAUAAGAGAACCGAAAAACGAUCGGGGGUAUAAAGACAGUGCAUUGAACACGAAGAUUACACCAUGUACGAACAAGAGAACGAGACGAGUGCUUCACGAUCAUGGACCAAUUGGAGAAGAUGUACCAGGCGAAGGAAUCUUAGAACAAGGCAUUAUUGAUGAGGAAGACUUGUGGAAUUUUGAAAACUUCAGAGAGGGACGGUGGCGGGAAACAUAUGAGUGAGUUCCAGAGAAUUGGUCAAUUAGUUGGCCAGUAAGACCUCAUUGACGAUGAAAUGCUUUUUAGGCUCUACUGCUUCUGAGUUCUUUACCAGAUAGUUGGGAGACAUUGGUGAGUUUCUCUCAGCAAUUCCGCGCAGGAUGGAAGUUGACUCUGAGUACAGUCAAGGAUGCCCUAUUCAACGAAGAAGCACGGAAGAAAGAGAUGGGCAUGAUAGAGCGAAGUGAGUCGCAGGCCCCCAAUCGCACACGGAAGCAGGGAAAGAGGUCGAGGUCACCAGAGGAAUAGGGAGAGGGACGGUCAAGGUCACAAUCAAGAGGUCGCAAUUUUAAGUAUUUUUUCUGUGCAAAGGAGCGGGCAUAUCAAGAGGAAUUGCCCAAAGUAUAAAACAAUAUGCAGUCUCAGAGACAGGCAUCGCAUCCGCAUCAGUGAUGACAGAUUCAGAUAAUGGUGGUUCCUAGUAUCACGGCAGAUGAGAAUCCGACUGGGUAUUGGAUUCAGGAAGUGCCUACCAUUUUUGUAGAGACAGGAAGAUGUUCUCUCACAUACGCAGCAUGCGAGGGACUUGUACGGAUGGAGAACAACACGGCGAAACAAAGUGUUGGCAAGGGAACAGGUCUGGUUCCGCAUGGCCAGCGGGAGGUCUGUGACGUUGACCGAGGUACGACAUGUUCCCAAACUACGGAAAAAUUUGAUUUUCAUCAGAAUGCUAGAUUAAAUGGUUUGCAGCAUGUAAGCUAAGGGAGGAAUCUUGAGAAUUUCCAAGGGAAACAAAGAGAUGCUGAGGGAAGGAAGACAAAAGGACUAUAUCGACUGGAGAGAAUUGUCCAAAACAGGAAGAGACGCUGUCCGACAAUGGGUCCAGUGGAUAUAAGACGGAAGAAUGGACAAGGAAAGCAACAGGUGCAAACAGGCACGCAAAAAGCAAGCGCAGGGACACCGGAGGGAGCAGAGUGGUCCAAGAGCGCAAGGAGAUGCUUGGGACAUGUGCGAAGUCUGAUCAGACAGACCAGUGCGACAAUGCGGAUGUCCAGAGAAAGUCCAGAGGAAGGAGGACAAAGUCGAUUUGGAGAGUUGUAAAUCGACAGGCGACGAGUCGCCGAAACGAGUCCUUUUGCUCGCGAUUGAUUAGUGGCCAGUGACUCUUCAAAUGGAUAAAAGGGAGAGGCUAGAGCCACGACGACCGCAAAGUGAUGUACUUUGCGGAACUCUCCGGUGAGGGGGAGCAAGGCAACCUAAGUGGAAGGGCAGGCAACUUCAGUCUGGAAGUGUGAGUGCUCAUUGAUGAGGGCAAGAUAUCUCGGAGCAGGUCUUGCAGAUCUUACGGGGGGCUGGAUCAAAAGUUGUUCGGAUAGAUACUUGAAGACUUCAGAUUACCCUCCAAUGGGGGAGGGGGAGAUUGUUGGAUCCAGCCAAUUGAAGGCCAAAGGAUCCAGCCCAAGUUAUGAAGCCCAAGCCCAAAGUGGAAGCCCACCCAUUUGUGACCCAAGCCCAAGCCCAUACUCAUUCUUCGGGAUAAGAAUGAAAUGGAAAUGAAGAGGACAGAUAAGAGAAGAGGAGAAAAUGCUCUGAAAGAAGACUAUAAAGAGGGAGGCGCGAAAGAGCCGAAAGAAGAGACGCUCCUUCCUUCCUCCAGUGUCAACAAUGAGGCAGAAUGAGCCUCAGCCAUGAGCUCAUCUUCUCCUUUCUAUCGUGGUCAUAUAAGACUCUGUUCUGAGAGAACAGCGCAGAGAGUGGGAGAAACAGAGAUAAGGCAGUGGGCAGGGAAGAAUUCUGUAGAGUAUAGAGAGGCUGUAGAGCAAGACUGGAAUUGAGAGAUGAGAUGAUUGAGUGAGUUGAGUGUGAAUCUCCUCCUUUUGUAUCUUUGUAAUUCAUUUUGAGAUAGUGAAUUAUCAGAUCCUCUCGUGGAUGUGGCAUUGUUGGCCAAACCACGUAAAUCUUGUCUUGUGUGUGUGGUUAUGUUGUAAGUGACUGUAACUCGUGUUUGGGCACAACGAACUCAACCCUAAGAAUACCAUUGAAGUUAGCAUAACCGCCAAAAAAAAUCAAAAUAUUUACUAAUUUUCAGCGUAACCAAACUUAAAGACCAAUAAGAUUCAAAUUGAAGAGAAAGAACUCAUCUUUUAGAAAUCAGUUGAAAACCUAAGAAACCCUAAACCCUAAUAAUGCGAUUGAAAUCAGCAUUACCGUCACGAAGAUGCCAAGAUGGAAUCCAACCGAAUCAAAUAUUUGCUACCAUCUCCCUUCAAUAUGUACAUCAAGUUAUUUUUUCUCUUUUUAAUAACAAAAAUCUGGAGAUUUUUGUCUUUUUUUAAAAAAACUAAUAAAGAAGAAAAUUCUCUAUCAAACAGUUGAAAACCUAUGAAACCUAAACCCUAGCAAUGCUAUUGAUGUCACCAUUGCAACGAAGAACCCAAGACGGAAUCUAUGAAUAAUGUUGUGCCCAAAACGAGUUACCAGUCACUCUGCCAACAUCAACCACACCCACAAGACAAGAUUUACGUGGUUCGGCUAAUCUGACUACGUCCACGGAAAGGAACCAAUAAUUCACUAUUUCAGGAAUGAAUUACAAUGAGUACAAUAGGGAGGAGGCUCAUCUCCACUCACCUCUCAGCACUCUCUCAUCCUCACCAUCUCUCAUUCUUGCUCUCACAGCUAUCAAUUCUAGCCCAACUUCUGUCAGAUCUCUCGGUGCUCUCACUGCAACCAUAGCACUCCCACCAAAUACAUAGUCCUCACUCCAGCCCCCUCUGCAUCACAACAUGUUGUGUUGCUCUCAGUAAGCUCUCAAGUAUUACAUUGUGCUCCGCCGCUUUCUCUCUCUGGCAACCUCUCAAUUUUAUGACCUCAGAUCAGAUAAGAUAGCUCAUGGCUGAGCUCUUCGUACCUCCUUCUUGACCAUGGAGAGCCUCCAUCUGCGACGUUCUUCGCGCCGUAGCAGCUUUCUCUGACAGAGCUGUCAGAGCAUCUCUCCUCUUCUUUUCUCCUCUUCCUCUUCUCCUCUUCUCUUCGUCUAAAAGGAAUGUAAUUGGGUUGGUUUAUGGCUGGGCCUUGGGCUUCCAAUUGGGUUGGGCCUAAAUUUGGACUGGAUCCAACAUCUCCCCCUCCAGCCCAUUGGAGGGUAAUCUGUUUUCUUGCAAGUUGUUUCAUCCUGACAACUUCUAGUCCAGCUCCCCCGUAAGAUCGCAAGACUGAAUCUGAGAUACCUUGCCCGCAUAAUCGGACAAUUCACUUCCCCUGAAUGGAUGCCUUCCAAUCGACGUGUCUGCACCUUCUCACUUAGUUGCUCUGCUCCCCCCCCACCGUGGGCGCUGCAAAGUACGUCGCUUUGCAAGGCAUGUGAUUCCAUCACUCCUCCUUUUUGUGUGCACAACAAAAAUCAAAAACAAAAAGAGAGAGAGAUCACCAUCACUUAUCUAGAGUGAAAGAGACUCAUUUUCGGCGACGUCGCGCCUGUCGCUGUCCAUCAACUCUGUCUCUCUCCUCUGAGCUUCUCGCAUGACAUCCUGAAUUGUUAGCAUCUUCUCGUUUCUGGCCAGACUUCGCACUAUCCCAAAGCAUCUCUUUGCGCUCCUGUUCCACUGUGGAUACUUCAAGUACCCAUCAGGUACUCCUGCGCUUGUUUUGCGUGCCUCGUGCAACGGUUGUUUCUUUCGUCCAUUCAUCUUGCUAUCCACUGGGCCCUAUGUCUGACCACAGCUCCUCUUUUCUGGACACUCCCCUUCAGUUCGGUAUAGCCCUUCAGUCUUCCUUCUCUUGCAGCAUUCCUAUUUCCUUGGAAACUCUGAGUGUUCCUUCCACUAGCUUCAAAGUUUCAUCGCUUCGAAUAUUUGCAUCUCAAUGAAACAUGCCUAUCCUGGUCACCUUCAUGGAUCUCCCGUCUGCCAUGCCUUAGCCUGGUCACCUUCAGAAAUUCCCAAUCUGACUCUUCCUCUGCCGAUGCUGCUAGAGAACAUCAACUCUCAUUCACAGCAUCAUUGCUGCUGUUGCUGUCUCUGAAGACUGAUCUUGUGCUUUGUUUCCUUGGACAAUUCUUCUGUCCCUCCUGGUCGCAAUAAAAGCACUUAAAGUGCUCCUCUGGAUUUUGCCCUCAGCCGUCAUCUGUCGGUAUCGUCUUCUUUGACCUCUUCUUCUGACCUCUGUGAACCUCCUUCUUGAGACCUCUUUCUCUGAUCAUCUUUUGACCUCUUCCUGUUGCUCUCUGGAACUCGCUCCGUUUG